rnacentral:rRNA from 1 species
CUAGAGUUCGGUAGGGGCAGAGGGAAUUCCCGGUGUAGCGGUGAAAUGCGUAGAUAUCGGGAAGAACACCGGUGGCGAAAGCGCUCUGCUGGGCCGUAACUGACACUGAGGGACGAAAGCUAGGGGAGCGAAUGGCAUUAGAUACCCCAGUAGUCCUAGCCGUAAACGAUGGAAACUAGGUGUAGCCAGUAUCGACCCGGGCUGUGCCGAACCUAACGCGUUAAGUUUCCCGGGUGGGGAGUACGCACGCAAGUGUGAAAC